rnacentral:lncRNA from 1 species
AAGUCAUUUCAGCACUUCCAGUUCAGAGCUCACGGGCCAGACACGGAGGGCAGCCUCUCCCCGGGCAGACAGGCUGGCAGCAAGGCAGCGGAGCCGGAGCAAUCCCCCGGCCUGAGUGAGAGGAAGAUGAAGGUCCUGCUGACGCUGGCGGUGCUGUUUGCCUGCAGUGUGUUCGUGGCUCACGGGAAGCUCCCACGCAUGUUCACACCGGGACUCGAAGGAAGCACCGUAGGAAAUCUGACCGCCUACAGCUGUUACUCGGGAUGGGGCAGCAGCGGCACAUCGAGGGCUUCAGUGGACCGGUGCUGCUUGCUCCGUGCCUGCUGCUACGCCAAGCUGGCUGCACGGCGGUGCCGCGUGGGACCCAUCCAGCCCUUCUUGGUGCCCCGGGCAAGAAUCCCCACCUGCCGCUCCGGGACUUGGUGCCAGAGAGGUGCCUGCAGGUGCGAGCAGGCAGCCUGGCUCUGCCGGAUGCGUGGCCGGGGGAUGCUCCGGCGUCGCGGCAAGUGCCGGGGACGAGGCGGGCGGUGUUGAAGCAAAAAGGCUCUUUGCAAAACCACCUCCAGGCUGAUAAGUAAAAGGGACGGUGCGGAGCCGGGAGCAUUUCCCAGCCCUGGCGGGUCUCCUCCUCGGGGCUUUUUGGCUUUGACACGAGGACAACAACGCUCUGGUGAAGUUGCGUCAUUAUACACUGGAUCCGAGGAGGGAGAGCAGCGCAGAUGCAAUGUUUCAGCACAGAAAAACAAGGGAGGGGUGGACACCUGCGCUUCGUCGCUGCGAAGGGCGAGAUGGAAACCAGCGCGAGCCUCUGUGCUGACACUCAUUUCCCCUUGGCUCGAGCUCCCCGUGCAGCCUGUCAGCUCCCUCUGCUUUUUGCUUCACCGCAGAUUCACUUCCGUUGCUCCAAAAUAAAACCAGAGAGCAC